GACGAACGCUGGCGGCGUGCUUAACACAUGCAAGUCGAACGGAAAGGCCCUGCUUUUGUGGGGUGCUCGAGUGGCGAACGGGUGAGUAACACGUGAGUAACCUGCCCUUGACUUUGGGAUAACUUCAGGAAACUGGGGCUAAUACCGGAUAGGAGCUCCUGCUGCAUGGUGGGGGUUGGAAAGUUUCGGCGGUUGGGGAUGGACUCGCGGCUUAUCAGCUUGUUGGUGGGGUAGUGGCUUACCAAGGCUUUGACGGGUAGCCGGCCUGAGAGGGUGACCGGCCACAUUGGGACUGAGAUACGGCCCAGCCUCCUACGGGAGGCAGCAGUGGGGAAUAUUGCACAAUGGGCGGAAGCCUGAUGCAGCAACGCCGCGUGCGGGAUGACGGCCUUCGGGUUGUAAACCGCUUUCGCCUGUGACGAAGCGUGAGUGACGGUAAUGGGUAAAGAAGCACCGGCUAACAACGUG
rnacentral:rRNA from 1 species